AAAGUAUAAAGCACCUGGAGACAGGCCAUGAAAAUUACUAAGUGCCCCAGCAGCAAAGCCAACAACAAUGAAAGAAAUAUUUAGAUGACUACGAACACCUAUUUCAGAUUGUAGGUAAAUAAAAUUUAGGGAGAAGUGUAAAACUUGAAAGCAAAAGCUGUUUAAUGUUUAAGUCCAAGGAUUCAGUAUUGAAAAUAGGAAAUGAUAACAGUAUUUUAAAAGAUUGGAUGCAAUAUAUUUGUUUAUAGGCAAAUAAGUCACCACAAAAAGGCAAAAAGUUGGUUGAUAUAACCACCUGGUUUGGAACUAUGUAACAAUUUAAUCUCGCCUCAUGAGAUGCAGUAUUCUUGUAUAAUUGAUCGUAUAGAAUUAUACUAAAUUACACUGUUAUAUGAAAAGUGCUCUUCAUUAUAUUUUACUAUUUCCAUAGAUAGAGACAUAUUUGUCUCUGUCUCCAUAAAAUGUAAGAGGUUGUAAAAGUUUGUCAGAAGAAUGAGGAGGUAAAAAGAAAUAUUUACUUUUUGUUUUCCAUUUCAAUUUUGACAGCAUUAUCUGAUUUUGGACAUCAUUAACGUCUCUCUUUAUCUUAAUACAACUGAGGCUGUGGUAUUCUAACCAUUCACCUCUGUAC